GACGUAGGGCGCGAGCGUUGUCCGGAUUUAUUGGGCGUAAAGAGCUCGUAGGCGGUUUGUCACGUCUGCUGUGAAAACUCGGGGCUUAACUCCGGGCCUGCAGUGGGUACGGGCAGACUAGAGUGCGGUAGGGGAGACUGGAAUUCCUGGUGUAGCGGUGAAAUGCGCAGAUAUCAGGAGGAACACCGGUGGCGAAGGCGGGUCUCUGGGCCGUAACUGACGCUGAGGAGCGAAAGCGUGGGGAGCGAACAGG
rnacentral:rRNA from 1 species